AGAAAACAGCUUGGAAAUAUCCAGAAUAGAUAAAUCCACACAGAGAGAAAACAGAGAGAAAUACCCAGAAUAGAUAAAUCCACAGAGAGAGAAAACAGCUUGGAAAUAUCCAGAAUAGAUAAAUCCACAGACAGAGAAAACAGAGAGAAAUAUCCAGAAUAGAUAAAUCCACAGAGAGAGAAAACAACUUGGAAAUAUCCAGAAUAGAUAAAUCCACAGUGAGAGAAAACAGUCCCAGUAGUUAUCAGGGACUGGAGAGAGGGAAGAAUGAGAAGUGACUACUUCAUGGAUACAAGGUUUUCUCUGGGGGUGAUGAAAAUAUUUUGACAUCUGAUAAAGGUGGUGGUAGUACAGCACUGUGAAUGUACCAAUUGCCACUGAAUUGUGCAUUUUAAAGUGAUUGAUUUUAUGUGGAACAAAUUUCACUUUAAUUAUAAAAAGUGAAUAAACUUUUAGAAGCUAACCUUGGAAGAAGGUAGAGACUGGAAGGGAUCACAAGAAAGGCUUCUGGGAUGUUGAAAGCACUGGAAUUUCUCUUUCUUCAACUAAAUUUCUUCACCUGAAAGAAGGUACUUAUGAUCAGUUGGCAUCAAUGAAGCAUCCUCAAGAAAUGUAAGGAAAUGACAACUGGUUCUCAGGUUGUGUCUACAGGAGGGAAUAAAUGGAGACAAAACAUUCCUCCCCUUGGAACAUCUCAGGACCUCGUCUCAAUGUCUUAGCUCUUACUUGGAAGGCCUCUGUGUUUGUCUCUAACCCCCUAACAACCUAGGACCCUGGUUACAGAAGAUUCUUAAUAGAGUACUGGAAGAAUUCCAGGUAAUAUAUGAAUAUUACUUAGCAAGGACAAUUAAACUUUCAAAAAAAUGAAUUUUUUCUACUGGUGUUUUGAAAUUUCAAUUAAAUUGCAAUUAAAAGAUAAACAACAUAAAAGCAACUCCACAUUUACAAGUUCUAAGCUCUAACAUUGUACACAUAAUUGUGUUGGGGUAUGUUUUUUCUGAUAAAAAGAGAAUGGCAUUCUACAAAUCAUCAGUCUUGAGUACUCAGGAAAGGCAUUGAGAUAGUCUUAAGUAUGAACAUAUUAUAGUGCUAAGAAAUACAAUAAAAGGCCAAGCUAAUUAGUUGAUUUCUACAUUGGGGAAUGUUCAGGUACACCCAAAUGUACUGUCAAUAUAUUCCUAGAGUCAUAGCUUAUCUUAAAAAAAUAGGCUAAGGCCGGGCACGGUGGCUCACGCCUGGAAUCCCAGCACUUUGGGAGGCCAAGGCGGGCAGAACACGAGGUCAGAAGAUCGAGACCAUCCUGGCCAACACGGUGAAACCCCGUCUCUACUAAAAAAAAAUACAAAAAGUUAGCUGGGCGUGGUGGCAGGUGCCUGUAGUCCCAGCUACUCAGGAGGCUGAGGCAGAAGAAUGGCGUGAAACCGAGAGGCGGAGCUUGCAGUGAGCCGAGAUCGCGCCACUGCACUCCAGCUUCGGCGACAGAGCGAAACUCCGUCUCAAAAAAAAAAAAAAAAAAGGCUAAAUCAUGACUAAAAUUCAAAUCUAUGUUAAUCUCUUCUGUAUAAAUUUUUUAGUUUAAUUUCCUUUCUAUUUUUGUCCAUAUGUUGCAAGAAAUAGAAAAUUACUGGUAGAUAAUUG
rnacentral:lncRNA from 10 species